rnacentral:rRNA from 1 species
CCUACGGGAGGCUGCAGUGGGGAAUAUUGGACAAUGGGGGGAACCCUGAUCCAGCCAUGCCGCGUGUGUGAAGAAGGCCCUCGGGUUGUAAAGCACUUUCAGUGAGGAAGAACGCCUGGUGGUUAAUACCCAUCAGGAAAGACAUCACUCACAGAAGAAGCACCGGCUAACUCCGUGCCAGCAGCCGCGGUAAUACGGAGGGUGCGAGCGUUAAUCGGAAUUACUGGGCGUAAAGCGCGCGUAGGUGGCUUGAUAAGCCGGUUGUGAAAGCCCCGGGCUCAACCUGGGAACGGCAUCCGGAACUGUCAAGCUAGAGUGCAGGAGAGGAAGGUAGAAUUCCCGGUGUAGCGGUGAAAUGCGUAGAGAUCGGGAGGAAUACCAGUGGCGAAGGCGGCCUUCUGGACUGACACUGACACUGAGGUGUGAAAGCGUGGGUAGCAAACAGGAUUAGAUACCCCUGUAGUC